rnacentral:rRNA from 1 species
GAUGAACGCUGGCGGCGUGCCUAAUACAUGCAAGUCGAGCGAACGGACGAGAAGCUUGCUUCUCUGAUGUUAGCGGCGGACGGGUGAGUAACACGUGGAUAACCUACCUAUAAGACUGGGAUAACUUCGGGAAACCGGAGCUAAUACCGGAUAAUAUUUUGAACCGCAUGGUUCAAAAGUGAAAGACGGUCUUGCUGUCACUUAUAGAUGGAUCCGCGCUGCAUUAGCUAGUUGGUAAGGUAACGGCUUACCAAGGCAACGAUGCAUAGCCGACCUGAGAGGGUGAUCGGCCACACUGGAACUGAGACACGGUCCAGACUCCUACGGGAGGCAGCAGUAGGGAACCUUCCGCAAUGGGCGAAAGCCUGACGGAGCAACGCCGCGUGAGUGAUGAAGGUCUUCGGAUCGUAAAACUCUGUUAUUAGGGAAGAACAUAUGUGUAAGUAACUGUGCACAUCUUGACGGUACCUAAUCAGAAAGCCACGGCUAACUACGUGCCAGCAGCCGCGGUAAUACGUAGGUGGCAAGCGUUAUCCGGAAUUAUUGGGCGUAAAGCGCGCGUAGGCGGUUUUUUAAGUCUGAUGUGAAAGCCCACGGCUCAACCGUGGAGGGUCAUUGGAAACUGGAAAACUUGAGUGCAGAAGAGGAAAGUGGAAUUCCGUGUGUAGCGGUGAAAUGCUCAGAGAUAUGGAGGAACACCAGUGGCGAAGGCGACUUUCUGGUCUGUAACUGACGCUGAUGUGCGAAAGCGUGGGGAUCAAACAGGAUUAGAUACCCUGGUAGUCCACGCCGUAAACGAUGAGUGCUAAGUGUUAGGGGGUUUCCGCCCCUUAGUGCUGCAGCUAACGCAUUAAGCACUCCGCCUGGGGAGUACGACCGCAAGGUUGAAACUCAAAGGAAUUGACGGGGACCCGCACAAGCGGUGGAGCAUGUGGUUUAAUUCGAAGCAACGCGAAGAACCUUACCAAAUCUUGACAUCCUUUGACAACUCUAGAGAUAGAGCCUUCCCCUUCGGGGGACAAAGUGACAGGUGGUGCAUGGUUGUCGUCAGCUCGUGUCGUGAGAUGUUGGGUUAAGUCCCGCAACGAGCGCAACCCUUAAGCUUAGUUGCCAUCAUUAAGUUGGGCACUCUAAGUUGACUGCCGGUGACAAACCGGAGGAAGGUGGGGAUGACGUCAAAUCAUCAUGCCCCUUAUGAUUUGGGCUACACACGUGCUACAAUGGACAAUACAAAGGGCAGCGAAACCGCGAGGUCAAGCAAAUCCCAUAAAGUUGUUCUCAGUUCGGAUUGUAGUCUGCAACUCGACUACAUGAAGCUGGAAUCGCUAGUAAUCGUAGAUCAGCAUGCUACGGUGAAUACGUUCCCGGGUCU